CUUGGUUUUAUCUUCUGGCUUGUUCCCUAGACCUGUCCACUCCCAGCAAAUGUGAAAUGUAUCCCGACACCAAGAGAGUCUGAGAUCCCUCCAGAGGAAUCCAGAGAUCUGCUUUUGGAGAUAGUAAGAGAACAGAGCCUGGUGAUCAUCUAUGGUCCAUGGAAGUCUCCUUUGUUGUUAAGAAGUUGACUGCAUAAUGAAGACUCAGAUUUCUGUCCUUUAAAUAAGGCAGGGCCUCCCACAUCUCAUUGGCAUCCUUUUGAAUGAAAUGCCUGACUCUGAUUUCUGCUUCAAAUGAACUGAGAAUCCUAAAGAUUCACAUGCCACAUACAAAUAUGUAAAUUUGGAUGUUUUUUCCCCCAAUAAAGAAAUUGACACAUAUAA